UGCUUAACCAGUGAGCAUAGAAAUGGACGUGCUCUGAGUAAGUGUUUAACAGUCCUCUAUCUAAGCUGCUUCUUCUGUGGCAUGCAUUACACAGGCACUGUACUGAAUGUCAGAGAGCAGGCAUUUCGAACUGGAAUUUCAUGGUGUAAAAAUAAAGGCCUUGUUAUUGACUCUGAGAACCAUGGGAACAAAUUAAACACAGCUUAAUAGCACAAAGGGGAAUGAUGGGGACAUUCGGAGCCUAAUAAGGUGAUCCAUGGGGUUCAUUAGCACAGGCAGAGCUUAUCAGAAGAGGCCUCAGAACCUAAUUAGCUGAACCCCCAUCAAAUAGAUGCAUUUGAUUAAUAUGACUCCAUUCUGAGUUUAAACAUCAACAUUAAUUAGCCCCAUAAUUGAUAGAUUUCCCAGCCAUGUGAGGAACAUUCAUCAUACUACUCAAGAAAGAUCUUUUUUUUUUCCUGAUAUUUCAAGACAGGUUCUCUCUGGGUAGUCCAGACUGACCUCAAACUAACACUCUUCCAGCCUUGCUUUCAGGGAUGCUGGGAUUAUAAGUAUGUGCCACCAUCUACAACAAGAUCUGUCUUAAUAUGUAAAGCCUUUGAAAACUGAAAACCUUAGGCCAAUGAGACAGCUCCCUGGGCUCUUGGCAUGGAAAUCUGAAAUCCUUAGAAGGAGAGAACUAACUCCCCAAAACUGUCCUCUGACAUCCCAUCUACACACACACACACACACACACACACACACACACACACAAUGAACAAGAAAAAGAAGAAGAAGGAGGAGGACGAGGAGGAGGACGAGGAGGAUGAGGACAAGGAGGAAGAAGAAGAAGAAAGAAAGAAAGAAAGAAAGAAAGAAAGAA